rnacentral:rRNA from 1 species
ACAAGUACCGUGAGGGAAAGUUGAAAAGUACUUUGAAAAGAGAGUGCAAGAGAACGUGAAACCGAAGUAAUGGAAGCGAAUGGAGUCGACGUAUCUUUAACGUAUUCAGUUGUUGAGCAGUCGGAUUGCUGUCGUUGGCCUGUGGUCGCGGCGGUAUUGUUCGGCGGUUUGGCGAUGCAUUUGCGUUUUGAGUGCGCCGAGUCGUGCGGUGUUGUCGGUUGAUGCGUGUUAAGAGGAAAUUUCUUCGGAUUUGAACCCUUGGCGCGUGGAGGCUGGUUGAUGCUGCAUGAUUUUGUGGAGACGUUUCUGUGUGUUGCGGUGCCGGUGCGUUCAGCUCGUUUGUUACACAUGUGUGGCUUGCUUGUUGAGCGUAUGGGUGUUGUAAUGUGCCCAACGUUCUUCUCGGUGUAUAGUCGAUGACCCAUUCGACCCGUCUUGAAACACGGACCAAGGAGUUUAUGGUAUACGCGAGUCAUUGGGCUUUUAAACCCAAAGGCGUAAUGAAAGUGAGACCUUAUUGGUUUUAACGUGAUCGGUUGUUGUUUCGACGGCUUCCGAGCAACGUUGCCCCGUUUCGAAGACUUGUCUUGUUGCGGAGGUUGAGCGUAUGCUGUGAGACCCGAAAGAUGGUGAACUAUGCCUGAACAGGAUGAAGUCAGAGGAAACUCUGAUGGAAGUCCGAAGCGGUUCUGACGUGCAAAUCGAUCGUCUGAUUUUGGUAUAGGGGCGCAAGACUAAUCGAACCAUCUAGUAGCUGGUUCCUUCCGA